GAUAAGAACGUAGCGAAAUGCGAUAAGUAGUGUGAAUUGCAGAAUUCAGUGAAUCAUCGAAUCUUUGAACGCACAUUGCGCCCCUUGGUAUUCCAUGGGGCAUGCCUGUUCGAGCGUCAUUUGUACCUUCAAGCUCUGCUUGGUGUUGGGUGUUUGUCUCGCCUCUGCGUGUAGACUCGCCUCAAAACAAUUGGCAGCCGGCGUAUUGAUUUCGGAGCGCAGUACAUCUCGCGCUUUGCACUCAUAACGACGACGUCCAAAAGUACAUUUUUACACUCUUGACCUCGGAUCAGGUAGGGAUACCCGCUGAACUUAAGCAUAUCAAUAAGCGGAGGA
rnacentral:misc_RNA from 1 species